UACGUAGGCAGCAAGCGUUGUUCGGAGUUACUGGGCGUAAAGGGUGCGUAGGCGGUUUGGUAAGUCUGAUGUGAAAUCUAUGGGCUCAACUCAUAGUCUGCAUCGGAAACUGCCGGGCUUGAGUGUGGGAGAGGUGAGUGGAAUUCCUGGUGUAGCGGUGAAAUGCGUAGAUAUCAGGAGGAACACCUGUGGCGAAAGCGGCUCACUGGACCAUAACUGACGCUGAUGCACGAAAGCUAGGGGAGCAAACAGG
rnacentral:rRNA from 1 species